rnacentral:rRNA from 1 species
CCUACGGGAGGCAGCAGUGAGGAAUAUUGGUCAAUGGUCGGGAGACUGAACCAGCCAAGCCGCGUGAGGGAUGAAGGUACAGAGUAUCGUAAACCUCUUUUGUCAGGGAACAAAGGCGGGGACGUGUCCCCGGAUGCGUGUACCUGAAGAAAAAGCAUCGGCUAACUCCGUGCCAGCAGCCGCGGUAAUACGGAGGAUGCGAGCGUUAUCCGGAUUUAUUGGGUUUAAAGGGUGCGCAGGCGGUCUGUUAAGUCAGCGGUCAAAGCCCGGGGCUCAACCCCGGCCCGCCGUUGAAACUGGCAGUCUCGAGUUGGAGCGAAGUAUGCGGAAUGCGCGGUGUAGCGGUGAAAUGCAUAGAUAUCGCGCAGAACUCCGAUUGCGAAGGCAGCAUGCCGGCUCCACACUGACGCUGAGGCACGAAAGCGUGGGUAUCGAACAGGAUUAGAUACCCUUGUAGUC